rnacentral:rRNA from 1 species
AUUGAACGCUGGCGGCAGGCCUAACACAUGCAAGUCGAGCGGAUGAAGGGAGCUUGCUCCUGGAUUCAGCGGCGGACGGGUGAGUAAUGCCUAGGAAUCUGCCUGGUAGUGGGGGAUAACGUCCGGAUACGGGCGCUAAUACCGCAUACGUCCUGUGGUAGAAAGUGGGGGAUCUUCGGACCUCACGCCAUCAUAUGAGCCUAGGUCGGAUUAGCUAGUUGGUGGGGUAACGGCCUACCAAGGCGACGAUCCGUAACUGGUCUGAGAGGAUGAUCAGUCACACUGGAACUGAGACACGGUACAGACUCCUACAGGAGGCAGCGGUGGGGAAUCUUGGACGAUGGGCGAGAGCCUGAUCCAGCCAUGCCGCGUGAGUGAAGAAGGCCUUCUGAUUGUAGAGCACUUUAAGUUGGGGGGUAGGGAAGUAAGUUAAUACCUGACUGUUAUGACGUUACCAGCAGAAUAAGCACCGGCUAACUUCGUG